GAUGAACGCUGGCGGCGUGCCUAAUACAUGCAAGUCGAGCGAACAGACGAGGAGCUUGCUCCUCUGAUGUUAGCGGCGGACGGGUGAGUAACACGUGGAUAACCUACCUAUAAGACUGGGAUAACUUCGGGAAACCGGAGCUAAUACCGGAUAACAUGUUGAACCGCAUGGUUCAACAGUGAAAGACGGUCUUGCUGUCACUUAUAGAUGGAUCCGCGCCGCAUUAGCUAGUUGGUAAGGUAACGGCUUACCAAGGCAACGAUGCGUAGCCGACCUGAGAGGGUGAUCGGCCACACUGGAACUGAGACACGGUCCAGACUCCUGCGGGAGGCAGCAGUAGGGAAUCUUCCGCAAUGGGCGAAAGCCUGACGGAGCAACGCCGCGUGAGUGAAGAAGGUCUUCGGAUCGUAAAACUCUGUUAUUAGGGAAGAACAAAUGUGUAAGUAACUAUGCACGUCUUGACGGUACCUAAUCAGAAAGCCACGGCUAACUACGUG
rnacentral:rRNA from 1 species